AUCAGAAGAAAGAAAUUCUUCCGCUGAAAUGAAAGACAAAUUAAAUUCUGAGAAUGAACGCUUAAGAUUAAAUUCAGAAGAAUUGAUUCAGAAAAAUCAGAAUUUAAUUAAAGAAAAUCAAAACUUAAGUGAAGAAGUUAACCAAUUGAAAUCUUUUAUUAACAAAUUCACUGUAAGUUCAGAAAGAUUAAAAACGAUGUUUGAAAGCCAACAUGCUGUCUUUGAUAAAUCAAGACUUGGCUGGAUUCCUUUGCUCAAUAAUAAACCCCUAAACAAAAAGGUUAUCAAUUCGCCAAGCAAACCAUCAAAUAAGAUAACUUAUUUCAAACAUAAAAAGAUUG
rnacentral:lncRNA from 1 species